ACUCCUACGGGAGGCAGCAGUAAGGAAUAUUGGGCAAUGGGCGAGAGCCUGACCCAGCCAUGCCGCGUGCAGGAAGACGGCCUUAUGGGUUGUAAACUGCUUUUUUAUGGGAAUAACCACCUUUACGAGUAGAGGUCUGCAAGUACCAUAAGAAUAAGCAUCGGCUAACUCCGUGCCAGCAGCCGCGGUAAUACGGAGGAUGCAAGCGUUAUCCGGAAUUAUUGGGUUUAAAGGGUGCGUAGGCGGACUAGUAAGUCAGUGGUGAAAUUCUCGGGCUUAACCUGAGACCUGCCAUUGAUACUGUUGGUCUUGAGUGUAGUUGAUGUUGGCGGAAUGUGUCAUGUAGCGGUGAAAUGCAUAGAUAUGACACAGAACACCGAUAGCGAAGGCAGCUGACAAAACUAUAACUGACGCUGAGGCACGAAAGCGUGGGGAUCAAACAGGAUUAGAAACCCCUGUAGUCC
rnacentral:rRNA from 1 species